UGGGGUGCCGGCAGCUGGGCGGGCGGAACGCGCUGUGUGAUCCGCCGGUAGGAAAGGAUUUGGGAUCUGCCAGCCACGGCGGGGCAGCGGGAGGAGGCACCGCUCCCCCAGCCCAUGCGGGCCGUGGGAGGUGCGGGCUUAGCAAUUACCCCGAUUAUCCACGGCUCAAAGGAAUCCACUGUGCCAGCGUAUGCAAGCGCUUGUAUUACAUGAUCUUCUCUAAUACUCCUGAAAUUUAAAGAGAAGAAAGUUCAUGAUGAUAAUAACACUAGGCUUCUAAUGGGAAGAUUAUAGAAUAAUUUGCUUUCAGGUUGCAAUUUCAAUCUGCAAACAAUUCUGUGUUUUUACAUUUUACAGAAGUUCAAGCAAAGCAGCGAAAUGCCAUCUGAAGUCUAGAACAGCAGCAUCUGGCAGAGUUUUGGUAGUACCAGCUGACUGUUGCAUCAAAACCAAGUGUCAGGGCUGGAUACAAAAAGGGAAGUUCUACUGGAUCAAUGGCCAGGAGACUGUUAAACAGCCUUUCCUCUUUAAAAUGCAUGAAGAACUACAGGGCAGGAAUGGAGAAGUGUUGAGUUACAGAGGGAGGGGCGAGCAAUCUAUUAUCUUCAUGGAAAAUAUCUGUUAGCAAUGGAAUGGAAUGGACAUGAAAUUGUCUCCAAGAAAACCAGAUUUCUGUGGGUUCCCUGAACUGUGGCCCAUCAGUAGUGCACAGAGUCUAGUUCAAAGAAACAGUGCCUGCAGUUUCAACAGGGACCAGUUCUAUGAGGGAAUGUUCCUAAUACAGAUAUUUUUCUGCCUUUUUAAACCUAGUUCUGUAUAUAUUUGGUAUUUCAUCCAUGGAUAUUCUGCCUACCAGAAGCCUCACUCCCUAACAGAAAAUCAUUCUCAUCCAAGCCCUUGCUGUUAACACAUUUUGUUUCCUCCUUCGAAUAAAACCUCUGAGUUUACAGCAGACUGCAGGUUAUCCUCUCUCAUCGUGGUCUGUUUUGUGACAUGGAUGAGGAGCCACAGAAGCAGCUAAAACAGCACAACUGAGAAGGUGGCACAGAAGCAAAUUAGCAAGAAUGAACGAUUGAGGUUGGGGCAAAGAAGGAGAUGGGGAGAUAACUGACCAAGAGAAGGUAUGGUGGAACAGCCAUCUGAAAUGUUCUUUGGCUUUUUGUGGGAUCUGGGAUAUGUGCUGUCACUGCUUCAGAACAGAAAUGGUAAAGUUUAAUGUACACAAAAGAUCUACUUUAACUGAAAUUAUGAGACAGUCCUAAUUCUGUUGAAAAAUUUUGUCUUUUGUUAAAAAAAGCAUUCCUGAUGUCAAGUAAGUUUGAUUAAUUUGUAGUUUCCUGGAAUGACAAAGUAAGCUACAUCUUCAAAGGAAUGCUGCGAAGCAGCAACCAAUGCAACCAAGCUUGUCAAAUGUACAUUUCAUAAUUAGAAAAGGGUACAAUAUAGAGAAAGACUGUAUAAGAUGACCUUUAAAUCUUGAAACAACUCUUUAAAAUACCAGAAAACAGGUUAUAGAGGAGAACAUUGCAUUCAAUAAUGUAAUUUUCAUGAGUUGUUUGAGGCAUGUAUCUCAAGCAUAUUUGAAUCUGCAAGUACAAUCGACAUACUAAUUAAAAAGUCCUUGCUGCAGCUCAUAAGAUCCAGUUAAAAUCUCAGAAUGUUGUUUGACUUGCAGUCCAUUUUCUGCAUUUCCAUAGUUUGAUUUUUCUGUGUGACAGCAGAUUCAAAGGACCACAGAAUGUUACCUCUGUAUUCAUUAUUAUUAGUGCAACAUCAAAAUAUAGCUUCUCUUUUUCUCAUUCUCUUUUGCCUUCCUUUACAGAAAAGGGACAAAAAGCAGACUAAGACCCAACAGUUGGUGCAAAACACAAGGAAUUACGUAAACAGAUCUUUUUUGCUUGAGGCUUUGCACUUAAAACUAAGUUUUGUCAUAAUCUAGUGGGCAACAUCUCACUAGACAUUUACAGGAGGAAAAACACACUGCUCAAGUAUUUAGCUGACAUAAAUUGUCAUAGAGCAGAAAGUGGAUGGUGUUAUAGUAUUUACAAUUAAAAUGUGACAAGUAGUCCAGUAAAUAUUGUUUUGCUUUAUCCUACAGUUUUUCCUUUGUGAUGCCAACAGCAGCAGCAAUCUGGAAAGCAGGUUUGGAACAGAUUAAUGCAGUCCUAUUU